rnacentral:lncRNA from 1 species
CCUCUUCUCACCACAAUUUCAUUAAGAUUUUUUCGAUAAAAGUUUUGCUCUGUUUAUGCCAAAUUAACUUAUAUCGAUUUAAAUGUAAAUGUGAAUAUGAUAUUAUCUGCAUAAUGAUGAAGUACAAAGUUUUUUUAGGGAAAAUUCCAAGUACCUGCUGAUUUGUUCUUUUUCUAAGCCUUAAAAGUAGGUACAUGGUUCUAUUUUUUUUUUUAUAUAUGUAUAAUUAUUUUAUAAUUAUAUAAUUAGUCUCCGUCUCAUUUACUGAAAUAGUUUACAAAUAGUGAAAUGUUAGGUUGUCAAUGCGCCAGAUUCCAAUUGACGAAGAUGUAUAGAUCACCGUACUGCCUUUAACUAUGAGCAAAACCCACACCUCAUAGUAAGCUAUAAAAGAUCCAGAUAUGAUGAAAUGUAUUCAGUUGUUCAACUCAAUAAACAACAAAAAAAACAAUAUCAUUCAAAUAAUAGAUUGUCAGGAUCUCUCUCAUUGAUUAUCAGAAAGUUUG